UGGUUAAGUCCCGCAACGAGCGCAACCCUUGUCAUUAGUUGCUCGAAAGGGCACUCUAAUGAGACUGCCGGUGACAAACCGGAGGAAGGUGGGGAUGACGUCAAGUCCUCAUGGCCCUUAUGGUAGGGCUACACACGUCAUACAAUGGCCGGUACAAAGGGCAGCCAACCCGCGAGGGGGAGCCAAUCCCGUAAAGCCGGUCGUAGUCCGGAUCGCAGUCUGCAACUCGACUGCGUGAAGUCGGAAUCGCUAGUAAUCGUGGAUCAGCAUGUCACGGUGAAUACGUUCCCGGGUCUU
rnacentral:rRNA from 1 species